rnacentral:rRNA from 1 species
UGGGGAAUAUUGCACAAUGGGCGGAAGCCUGAUGCAGCGACGCCGCGUGGGGGAUGAAGGCCUUCGGGUUGUAAACUCCUUUCGACAGGGACGAAGCUUUUGUGACGGUACCUGUAUAAGAAGCACCGGCUAACUACGUGCCAGCAGCCGCGGUAAUACGUAGGGUGCGAGCGUUGUCCGGUAUUACUGGGCGUAAAGAGCUCGUAGGUGGUUUGUCGCGUUGUCUGUGAAAUUCCGGGGCUUAACUCCGGGCGUGCAGGCGAUACGGGCUGACUUGAGUGCUGUAGGGGAGACUGGAAUUCCUGGUGUAGCGGUGAAAUGCGCAAAUAUCAGGAGAAACACCGAUGGCGAAGGCAGGUCUCUGGGCAGUAACUGACGCUGAGGAGCGAAAGCAUGGGUAGCGAACAGG